rnacentral:rRNA from 2 species
UGAUGAAGGUUUUCGGAUCGUAAAGCUCUGUUGUUAGGGAAGAACAAGUGCCGUUCAAAUAGGGCGGCACCUUGACGGUACCUAACCAGAAAGCCACGGCUAACUACGUGCCAGCAGCCGCGGUAAUACGUAGGUGGCAAGCGUUGUCCGGAAUUAUUGGGCGUAAAGGGCUCGCAGGCGGUUUCUUAAGUCUGAUGUGAAAGCCCCCGGCUCAACCGGGGAGGGUCAUUGGAAACUGGGGAACUUGAGUGCAGAAGAGGAGAGUGGAAUUCCACGUGUAGCGGUGAAAUGCGUAGAGAUGUGGAGGAACACCAGUGGCGAAGGCGACUCUCUGGUCUGUAACUGACGCUGAGGAGCGAAAGCGUGGGGAGCGAACAGGAUUAGAUACCCUGGUAGUCCACGCCGUAAACGAUGAGUGCUAAGUGUUAGGGGGUUUCCGCCCCUUAGUGCUGCAGCUAACGCAUUAAGCACUCCGCCUGGGGAGUACGGUCGCAGGACUGAAACUCAAUGAAUUGACGGA